rnacentral:rRNA from 1 species
CUUUAUUGGAGAGUUUGAUCCUGGCUCAGGAUGAAUGCUGGCGGCGUGCCUAAUACAUGCAAGUCGAGCGAAUGGAUUGAGAGCUUGCUCUCAAGAAGUUAGCGGCGGACGGG